rnacentral:rRNA from 1 species
AGCAGCCGCGGUAAUUCCAGCUCCAAUAGCGUAUAUUAAAGUUGUUGCAGUUAAAAAGCUCGUAGUUGAAUUUCGGGGUCAGUAGGUUGGUCGUGCCACCGGUACGUACUGGUCUCACUGAUUCCUCCUUCCUGAAGAACCGUAAUGCCAUUAAUUUGGUGUUGCGGGGAAACAGGACUGUUACUUUGAAAAAAUUAGAGUGUUUAAAGCAAGCUAACGCUUGAAUACAUUAGCAUGGAAUAAUGAAAUAGGACGAUCGAUCCUAUUUUGUUGGUUUCUAGGAUUGACGUAAUGAUUAAUAGGGAUAGUUGGGGGCAUUAGUAUUCAAUUGUCAGAGGUGAAAUUCUUGGAUUUAUUGAAGACUAACUACUGCGAAAGCAUUUGCCAAGGAUGUUUUCAUUAAUCAAGAACGAAAGUUAGGGGAUCGAAGACGAUCAGAUACCGUCGUAGUCUUAACCAUAAACUAUGCCGACUAGGGAUCGGAUGAUGUUAAUUUUAUAAUGACUCAUUCGGCGCCUUA